rnacentral:lncRNA from 1 species
AGGUGGUAGAAGAGGUUAGAAGAGAUGAAUCGAAUACCAUAUAAUCAGUGGCUCCACUAUCAAUCACUCACAGUUUAGAAAAGAUAGAAAAACAGGCUAGAAGCAUAACUAUAAUAUUGGCCAUUGAUGUUGGAGUACCUGGAGAAAUCAAAGCAAGUAGCUUGGCAUAUUGCUCGGAUAUAAAUAUUGGCAUAGUGAG